AUGUACAUGUGCACUGGGGGGAGAAAACAGGCCAUGAAAGGCUUCUUUCUUCCAUUUCCACAGAAAGAUAAAAGCCUGCUGCUGACCCUCUGCAACAGUGCCUCUGGCAGGACCUUACUGCAUCUCUUGUCUGCAUUGGCCUGCAUGUUUGAGAAAGCCAAGUACUCCCAGGAGAGCUGCCAGAACUGCAGCCCAGCAUGUUUGCUGGGGGGAAUGGUGCUUAGCAAGGGUACAGGUGCUGAGCCACAUGGGAAGCUCUGAAUCAUUUCAGGCUCCUGAGAUGAAAUACAGCCCCUCUCAGGCUGUGCACCAGUGAGUGUGGGCAGGCCCCUGCAUGAAGCAGGUCUGAUUUGAAUGUAAAUGACAGGGUUUUGCUGCAGUUGUCCACACCGAGGUGCUAAUGAAGAAACAACUUCAUCCUUCUGAGUUUGGUGUUGUGUUUGUG
rnacentral:lncRNA from 12 species